rnacentral:rRNA from 1 species
CUACGGGUCGCUCCAGUGAGGAAUAUUGCGCAAUGGGGGAAACCCUGACGCAGCGACGCCGCGUGAGUGAUGAAGGUCUUCGGAUCGUAAAGCUCUGUCAGGUGGGAAGAAUAAGGGCAGGGAAAAUAUUCCUGUCCGAUGACGGUACCACCAGAGGAAGCACCGGCUAACUCCGUGCCAGCAGCCGCGGUAAUACGGAGGGUGCUAACGUUGUUCGGAAUUACUGGGCGUAAAGCGCGUGUAGGCGGGUAUGUAGGUCAGAUGUGAAAUCCCUCGGCUCAACCGAGGAACUGCAUCUGAAAGCAUGUAUCUUGAGUACGUCAGAGGAGAGUGGAAUUCCCAGUGUAGAGGUGAAAUUCAUAGAUAUUGGGAAGAACACCGGUGGCGAAGGCGGCUCUCUGGGGCGAUACUGACGCUGAGACGCGAAAGCGUGGGUAGCAAACAGGAUUAGAUACCCCGGUAGUC